CUGCAGGUCUGUUCUGUGUUUUAUGUAUGUGUGGGGAAGACCACCAUUUAAAAAAUAAAUAAAACUAGUGUUUCAAAUCAGAAUAAAAAAACAAGAUGGCAACAGUUCUGCAGAACCAGAAAUUCCGUACCUCUGCAACACUGGAACAAUGUCAGAGAAGAACGUCACACAAUUGAAUUCAUCCGCAAGCCCAUGGAUGAGGAUAGAUCUCCUGUUUUCUAAUAUAAAAAAUUCAGUGGUGGCAGCUAAAACUUAAACAGCUGAUUAUUUUUUGUUCCUGGUUUCCCAUCAGGUCUCUCAGUGAAACACUGCUCCCACACUCAGUCUCCCGAAAGCCUCCAUAUUCUGUCUCUUUUGGUAUUAAAAGAGAUGCGGUGUUCUUCGCUUCUGUCCUCCAGUAUAAGCAGCUGUCAGGACUUCUGCAAUGUGAGGCGCUGGCACAGCUGCCCAGAGAAGCUGUGGUGCCCCAUCCCUGGAGGCGCUCAAGGCCAC
rnacentral:lncRNA from 1 species